ensembl:snoRNA
AACACGCUCCUUAGAUCCACCUCUGGGGGGCGCUCCUGGUCUGUUGAGUCUGCUAUUAUCUCUCUCUCUCUGAGUGUUGACUGCAGCUCCAGCCCAGACGCUCCCAGCAGCUUUCUGGCUGUACAGUUGGAGGUGCUUGAGUCAUUGGCGUGUGAGAACAGUCUACCUGCUCCUCAGCCCACUCCCUGCACUGGCACCCUCGCUGGAAAAUGACCAGUGCAGACAGGCUGGGGAGCGGACAUG